rnacentral:rRNA from 1 species
GAUUAAGUUAUUAAGGGCGCACGGUGGAUGCCUUGGCACUAGAAGCCGAUGAAGGACGUUACUAACGACGAUAUGCUUUGGGGAGCUGUAAGUAAGCUUUGAUCCAGAGAUUUCCGAAUGGGGAAACCCAGCAUGAGUUAUGUCAUGUUAUCGAUAUGUGAAUACAUAGCAUAUCAGAAGGCACACCCGGAGAACUGAAACAUCUUAGUACCCGGAGGAAGAGAAAGAAAAUUCGAUUCCCUUAGUAGCGGCGAGCGAAACGGGAAGAGCCCAAACCAACAAGCUUGCUUGUUGGGGUUGUAGGACACUCUAUACGGAGUUACAAAGGACGACAUUAGACGAAUCAUCUGGAAAGAUGAAUCAAAGAAGGUAAUAAUCCUGUAGUCGAAAAUGUUGUCUCUCUUGAGUGGAUCCUGAGUACGACGGAGCACGUGAAAUUCCGUCGGAAUCUGGGAGGACCAUCUCCUAAGGCUAAAUACUCUCUAGUGACCGAUAGUGAACCAGUACCGUGAGGGAAAGGUGAAAAGCACCCCGGAAGGGGAGUGAAAUAGAACCUGAAACCGUGUGCUUACAAGUAGUCAGAGCCCGUUAAUGGGUGAUGGCGUGCCUUUUGUAGAAUGAACCGGCGAGUUACGAUUUGAUGCAAGGUUAAGCAGUAAAUGUGGAGCCGUAGCGAAAGCGAGUCUGAAUAGGGCGUUUAGUAUUUGGUCGUAGACCCGAAACCAGGUGAUCUACCCUUGGUCAGGUUGAAGUUCAGGUAACACUGAAUGGAGGACCGAACCGACUUACGUUGAAAAGUGAGCGGAUGAACUGAGGGUAGCGGAGAAAUUCCAAUCGAACCUGGAGAUAGCUGGUUCUCUCCGAAAUAGCUUUAGGGCUAGCCUCAAGUGAUGAUUAUUGGAGGUAGAGCACUGUUUGGACGAGGGGCCCCUCUCGGGUUACCGAAUUCAGACAAACUCCGAAUGCCAAUUAAUUUAACUUGGGAGUCAGAACAUGGGUGAUAAGGUCCGUGUUCGAAAGGGAAACAGCCCAGACCACCAGCUAAGGUCCCAAAAUAUAUGUUAAGUGGAAAAGGAUGUGGCGUUGCCCAGACAACUAGGAUGUUGGCUUAGAAGCAGCCAUCAUUUAAAGAGUGCGUAAUAGCUCACUAGUCGAGUGACACUGCGCCGAAAAUGUACCGGGGCUAAACAUAUUACCGAAGCUGUGGAUUGUCCUUUGGACAAUGGUAGGAGAGCGUUCUAAGGGCGUUGAAGCAUGAUCGUAAGGACAUGUGGAGCGCUUAGAAGUGAGAAUGCCGGUGUGAGUAGCGAAAGACGGGUGAGAAUCCCGUCCACCGAUUGACUAAGGUUUCCAGAGGAAGGCUCGUCCGCUCUGGGUUAGUCGGGUCCUAAGCUGAGGCCGACAGGCGUAGGCGAUGGAUAACAGGUUGAUAUUCCUGUACCACCUAUAAUCGUUUUAAUCGAUGGGGGGACGCAGUAGGAUAGGCGAAGCGUGCGAUUGGAUUGCACGUCUAAGCAGUAAGGCUGA